AGACGAAGGUCGGUUUCCGUUCUUCGUUUUUUGUUUUUUAUGUCUCAAGGUGGGACGUCGACAAGCGGAGGAGCCAUGAGCCAGCAACGCGCGUGGGAGCUCCUGAGAAAGGAAGCAAGAAAACUAGAAAGCGAGAUAGACUCCAAGCUUGCUUCGUAUGCCAAGUAUGACAAGGGUCUUUCGUACCACACGAACAGCUCAGACUUAGAAGGGUAUAGCUCAACAGUGCAGGCAGCAGAAAUAGAAGACCUCCUCUCGAAGC
rnacentral:ribozyme from 1 species